AGAGUUUGAUCAUGGCUCAGAUUGAACGCUGGCGGCAUGCUUUACACAUGCAAGUCGAGCGGCAGCGCGGGGGCAACCCUGGCGGCGAGCGGCGAACGGGUGAGUAAUGCAUCGGAACGUGUCCCGUAAUGGGGGAUAACGCCGCGAAAGCGGCGCUAAUACCGCAUACGCUNUACGGAGGAAAGUGGGGGAUNUGCAAGGACCUCACGUUAGGGGAGCGGCCGAUGUCCGAUUAGCUAGUUGGUGGGGUAACGGCCUACCAAGGCGACGAUCGGUAGCUGGUNUGAGAGGAUGAUCAGCCACACUGGGACUGAGACACGGCCCAGACUCCUACGGGAGGCAGCAGUGGGGAAUUUUGGACAAUGGGGGCAACCCUGAUCCAGCCAUGCCGCGUGCGGGAAGAAGGCCUUCGGGUUGUAAACCGCUUUUAGCCGGGAAGAAAAGGCGCGAGUAAUACCUUGCGUUUUUGACGGUUACCGGCGNAGGCCGC
rnacentral:rRNA from 1 species